GUUGGCCGAGGGGUAUGGCACCCAUGUGCUGCAGGGAUGCUCCCGUGCUCCCUUCACGUGGUCCUCGUUUGCCCCUCUCAACGGCUCGGUUAGCACCGGGGCCCGGGGAUGGCCUCACGCCUUUGACCCUGCCAAGUUUAUCCCAUUGCCCCACAUUUCUCUCACGCCAAGUUGGAUGACGGCCGUUUGAUUGACUGAUUUGAUUGUCCCCUUGAUUCGAGCCGCUGGAACG
rnacentral:lncRNA from 1 species